UCAAGAACGACGCUGGCGGCAUGCCUAACACAUGCAAGUCGAACGAACCCUUCGGGGGUUAGUGGCGCACGGGUGCGUAACGCGUGGGAAUCUGCCCUUUGCUUCGGAAUAACAGUUAGAAAUGACUGCUAAUACCGGAUAAUGUCUUCGGACCAAAGAUUUAUCGGCAAAGGAUGAGCCCGCGUAGGAUUAGCUAGUUGGUGGGGUAAAAGCUCACCAAGGCGACGAUCCUUAGCUGGUCUGAGAGGAUGAUCAGCCACACUGGGACUGAGACACGGCCCAGACUCCUACGGGAGGCAGCAGUGGGGAAUAUUGGACAAUGGGCGAAAGCCUGAUCCAGCAAUGCCGCGUGAGUGAUGAAGGCCUUAGGGUUGUAAAGCUCUUUUACCCGGGAUGAUAAUGACAGUACCGGGAGAAUAAGCUCCGGCUAACUCCGUG
rnacentral:rRNA from 1 species